rnacentral:ncRNA from 1 species
UUAUGAUAGAGGCGCAGAUGCUAUAAGUAACAUCGUCAAGGGCUUUCGCAAAGCGGUGGACGGUGCUGAAAGGCGUAUCUGCCGAAAGGACGGUAAGGCGUAAACCGACCUUGGUAUUUCGGACAAUAUCCGUCAUACUGUCGCUAAUGCGGAGAGCUAUCUU